rnacentral:rRNA from 1 species
AUACGGAGGGUGCGAGCGUUGUUCGGAAUUAUUGGGCGUAAAGAGCAUGUAGGCGGUCUGUUAAGUCUGGUGUGAAAGCCCGGGGCUCAACCCCGGAAGUGCAUUGGAUACUGGCAGACUUGAGUAUAGGAGAGGAAAGCGGAAUUCCGAGUGUAGGAGUGAAAUCCGUAGAUAUUCGGAGGAACACCAGUGGCGAAGGCGGCUUUCUGGACCAAUACUGACGCUGAGAUGCGAAAGCGUGGGGAGCAAACAGGAUUAGAAACCCCUGUAGUCC